rnacentral:rRNA from 1 species
UGAGGAACAUGACCUUCGGCGGGGGAUAGCCGGCCCAACGGCCGGGUAAUACCGCGUACGACCACAUGGGGACAUCCCUGAGUGGUGAAAGCAGCAAUGCGCCGAUGGAGUGCCUCGCGGCCUAUCAGCUAGUUGGUGAGGUAACGCUCACCAAGGCGACGACGGGUAGCUGGUCUGAGAGGAUGGCCAGCCACAUUGGGACUGAGACACCGGCCCAGACCUCGACGGGA